CGAAUGCUGACAUAAGUAACGAUAAAGCGGGUGAAAAGCCCGCUCGCCGGAAGACCAAGGGUUCCUGUCCAACGUUAAUCGGGGCAGGGUGAGUCGACCCCUAAGGCGAGGCCGAAAGGCGUAGUCGAUGGGAAACAGGUUAAUAUUCCUGUACUUGGUGUUACUGCGAAGGGGGGACGGAGAAGGCUAUGUUGGCCGGGCGACGGUUGUCCCGGUUUAAGCGUGUAGGCUGGUUUUCCAGGCAAAUCCGGAAAAUCAAGGCUGAGGCGUGAUGACGAGGCACUACGGUGCUGAAGCAACAAAUGCCCUGCUUCCAGGAAAAGCCUCUAAGCAUCAGGUAACAUCAAAUCGUACCCCAAACCGACACAGGUGGUCAGGUAGAGAAUACCAAGGCGCUUGAGAGAACUCGGGUGAAGGAACUAGGCAAAAUGGUGCCGUAACUUCGGGAGAAGGCACGCUGAUAUGUAGGUGAAGCGACUUGCUCGUGGAGCUGAAAUCAGUCGAAGAUACCAGCUGGCUGCAACUGUUUAUUAAAAACACAGCACUGUGCAAACACGAAAGUGGACGUAUACGGUGUGACGCCUGCCCGGUGCCGGAAGGUUAAUUGAUGGGGUUAGCGCAAGCGAAGCUCUUGAUCGAAGCCCCGGUAAACGGCGGCCGUAACUAUAACGGUCCUAAGGUAGCGAAAUUCCUUGUCGGGUAAGUUCCGACCUGCACGAAUGGCGUAAUGAUGGCCAGGCUGUCUCCACCCGAGACUCAGUGAAAUUGAACUCGCUGUGAAGAUGCAGUGUACCCGCGGCAAGACGGAAAGACCCCGUGAACCUUUACUAUAGCUUGACACUGAACAUUGAGCCUUGAUGUGUAGGAUAGGUGGGAGGCUUUGAAGUGUGGACGCCAGUCUGCAUGGAGCCGACCUUGAAAUACCACCCUUUAAUGUUUGAUGUUCUAACGUGGACCCGUGAUCCGGGUUGCGGACAGUGUCUGGUGGGUAGUUUGACUGGGGCGGUCUCCUCCUAAAGAGUAACGGAGGAGCACGAAGGUUGGCUAAUCCUGGUCGGACAUCAGGAGGUUAGUGCAAUGGCAUAAGCCAGCUUGACUGCGAGCGUGACGGCGCGAGCAGGUGCGAAAGCAGGUCAUAGUGAUCCGGUGGUUCUGAAUGGAAGGGCCAUCGCUCAACGGAUAAAAGGUACUCCGGGGAUAACAGGCUGAUACCGCCCAAGAGUUCAUAUCGACGGCGGUGUUUGGCACCUCGAUGUCGGCUCAUCACAUCCUGGGGCUGAAGUAGGUCCCAAGGGUAUGGCUG
rnacentral:rRNA from 1 species